CGCUGGCGGCAAGCCUAACACAUGCAAGUCGAACGGACAAUUAUUUAUAGCCUCUGGCUAUAGGAAAUUGUUAGUGGCAGACGGGUGAGUAAUGCGUAGGAAUCUACCUAGUAGUACGGAAUAGCCAUUAGAAAUGGUGGGUAAUACUGUAUAAUCCCCGAGGGGGAAAGAUUUAUCGCUAUUAGAUGAGCCUACGUUAGAUUAGCUAGUUGGUGAGGUAAUGGCUUACCAAGGCUAUGAUCUAUAGCUGGUCUGAGAGGACGAUCAGCCACACUGGAACUGAGAUACGGUCCAGACUCCUACGGGAGGCAGCAGUGGGGAAUAUUGGACAAUGGGCGAAAGCUGAUCCAGCUAUGCCGCGUGAGUGAAGAAGGCCUUCGGGUUGUAAAACUCUUUCAAUAGGGAAGAUAAUGACGG
rnacentral:rRNA from 1 species